UACGAAGGGGGCUAGCGUUGCUCGGAUUCAUUGGGCGUAAAGCGCGCGUAGGCGGCUCGGAAAGUCGGUCGUGAAAUGCCGGGGCUCAACCCCGGGACUGCGUCCGAUACUCCCGAGCUGGAGGCAGGUAGGGGAGAUCGGAAUUCCUGGUGUAGCGGUGAAAUGCGCAGAUAUCAGGAGGAACACCGGUGGCGAAGGCGGAUCUCUGGGCCUUGCCUGACGCUGAGGCGCGAAAGCUAGGGGAGCGAACAGGA
rnacentral:rRNA from 1 species